UACGUAGGGUGCGAGCGUUAAUCGGAAUUACUGGGCGUAAAGCGUGCGCAGGCGGUUCUGCAAGACAGGUGUGAAAUCCCCGGGCUUAACCUGGGAACUGCACUUGUGACUGCAGAGCUGGAGUACGGCAGAGGGGGAUGGAAUUCCGGCGUGUAGCAGUGAAAUGCGUAGAUAUGCGGAGGAACACCGAUGGCGAAGGCAGCCAUCUGGACCGACACUGACGCUGAGGCGCGAAAGCGUGGGGAGCAAACAGG
rnacentral:rRNA from 1 species